rnacentral:sRNA from 1 species
AGAUGCUCAUUCCAUCUCUUAUGUUCGCCUUAGUGCCUCAUAAACUCCGGAAUGACGCAGAGCCGUUUACGGUGCUUAUCGUCCACUGACAGAUGUCGCUUCUGCCUCAUCAGACACCAUGGACACAACGUUGAGUGAAGCACCCACUU